rnacentral:rRNA from 1 species
UACAGAGGGUGCGAGCGUUGUCCGGAAUCACUGGGCGUAAAGGGCGCGUAGGUGGCGCUGCAAGUCGGUGGUGAAAGCUCGAUGCUUAACAUCGAGUCGGCCAUCGAAACUGCAGGGCUCGAGCACUGUAGGGGCAGAUGGAAUUCCGGGUGUAGCGGUGGAAUGCGUAGAGAUCCGGAAGAACACCGGUGGCGAAGGCGGUCUGCUGGGCAGUUGCUGACACUGAGGCGCGACAGCGUGGGGAGCAAACGGG